rnacentral:misc_RNA from 1 species
UUUCCGUAGGUGAACCUGCGGAAGGGUCAUUAUUGGAUUUUGAAACUUCAGGCUGCUGCUGGCUCUCCUCGGAGGGCAUGUGCACGCUUGUUGUCCAUUAUUUCUCCCACUGUGCACAAAUUGUAGACCUUUCAGUAGGCCUAUGUUGUUUUCCACAAUCUCUGAAUGUAAUAGAAUGGUUUUGAAUCUUGGGAAAUACAAUACAACUUUCAGCAACGGAUCUCUUGGCUCUC